rnacentral:rRNA from 1 species
UCUAACGUAGUUGGACGAUGGGAUGCAUAUGAUUACAUUGAGCAGUGGCGAACCGGUAGUACACGUGGGUACCCGCCCAGAAGCGGGGGAUACACCUGGAAACAGAUGCUAAUACCGCAUAACAACUUGGACCGCAUGGUCCGAGUUUGAAAGAAUGGCUUCGGCUAUCACUUUUGGAUGGUCCCGCGGCGUAUUAGCUAGAUGGUGGGGUAACGGCUCACCAUGGCAAUGAUACGUAGCCGAACCUGAGAGGGUAAUCGGCCACAUUGGGACUGAGACACGGCCCAAACUCCUACGGGAGGCAGCAGUAGGGAAUCUUCCACAAUGGACGAAAGUCUGAUGGAGCAACGCCGCGUGAGUGAAGAAGGGUUUCGGCUCGUAAAACUCUGUUGUUAAAGAAGAACAUAUCUGAGAGUAACUGUUCAGGUAUUGACGGUAUUUAACCAGAAAGCCACGGCUAACUACGUGCCAGCAGCCGCGGUAAUACGUAGGUGGCAAGCGUUGUCCGGAUUUAUUGGGCGUAAAGCGAGCGCAGGCGGUUUUUUAAGUCUGAUGUGAAAGCCUUCGGCUCAACCGAAGAAGUGCAUCGGAAACUGGGAAACUUGAGUGCAGAAGAGGACAGUGGAACUCCAUGUGUAGCGGUGAAAUGCGUAGAUAUAUGGAAGAACACCAGUGGCGAAGGCGGCUGUCUGGUCUGUAACUGACGCUGAGGCUCGAAAAGUAUGGGUAGCAAACAGGAUUAGAUACCCUGGUAGUCCAUACCGUAAACGAUGAAUGCUAAGUGUUGGAGGGUUUCCGCCCUUCAGUGCUGCAGCUAACGCAUUAAGCAUUCCGCCUGGGGAGUACGGCCGCAAGGCUGAAACUCAAAGGAAUUGACGGGGGCCCGCACAAGCGGUGGAGCAUGUGGUUUAAUUCGAAGCUACGCGAAGAANCUUACCAGGUCUUGACAUACUAUGCAAAUCUAGAGAUAGACGUUCCCUUCGGGACAUGGAUACAGGUGGUGCAUGGUUGUCGUCAGCUCGUGUCGUGAGAUGUUGGGUUAAGUCC